GAUGAACGCUGGCGGCGUGCCUAAUACAUGCAAGUCGAGCGAACGGACGCGACGCUUGCUUCUCUGACGUGAGCGGCGGACGGGUGAGUCACACGUGUAUACCCUCCCUAUAAGACUGAGAUAUCCUCGGGACACCAGCUCUAAUCCCGGAUGAUAUUCUGCACCGCAUUGUUCAAUAGUGAGUGUCGGUCUUGCUGUCACUUCUCGCUGGCUCCGCGCUGCUUUGGCUCGUUGUUACGGUCACGGCUUACCACGGCAACGAUGCGUAGCCGAACUGAUGGGGGGAUCGGCCACACGGGAGCUGGGACACGGUCCAGACUACUGCGGGAGGCAGCAGUAGGGAAUCUUCCGCAGUAGGCGGAAGCCUGACGGAACGACGCCGCGUGAGUGAUGAAGGUGUUCGGAUCGUAAAGCUCUGUUAUUGGUGAAGAACAGAUGUGUAAGGUACUGUGCACAGCUUGACGGUACUUAAUCAGAAAGCCACGGCUAACUACGUG
rnacentral:rRNA from 1 species